GGAGCAAACCCGAGAAAACCGGUCCCAGUUCGGAUUGAGGUCUGCAACUCGACCUCAUGAAGUCGGAAUCGCUAGUAAUCGCAUAUCAGAACGAUGCGGUGAAUACGUUCCCGGGCCUUGUACACACCGCCCGUCACACCACGAAAGUUUGUUGUACCCGAAGUCGGUGCCUUAACCUCGCAAGAGGAGAGAGCCGCCCAAGGUAUGGCCGAUGAUUGGGGUGAAGUCGUAACAAGGUAGCCGUAGGGGAACCUGCGGCUGGAUCACCUCCUUUCUAGGAGAGAAGGGUCCUGGAUGAAGCGCUCCUAUUUAGUCUUGUGAAGGAUCCGAGUGGAAGCCGGGACCGGAGAAAGACCGGGCCUGUAGCUCAGAUGGUGAGAGCGCACGCCUGAUAAGCGUGAGGUCGAUAGUUCGAAUCUAUCCAGGCCCACCAUCUGCGGGGAUGUAGCUCAGUUGGGAGAGCGCCUGCUUUGCAAGCAGGAGGUCAGCGGUUCGAUCCCGCUCA
rnacentral:rRNA from 1 species